rnacentral:rRNA from 1 species
UCCAGACUCCUACGGGAGGCAGCAGUGGGGGAUAUUGCACAAUGGGGGAAACCCUGGUGCAGCGACGCCGCGUGUGGGAAGACGGUCCUCUGGAUUGUAAACCACUGUCCCCAGGGACGAAGAUGACGGUACCUGGGGAGGAAGCUCCGGCUAACUACGUGCCAGCAGCCGCGGUAAUACGUAGGGAGCAAGCGUUGUCCGGAAUUACUGGGUGUAAAGGGGGCGUAGGCGGGAUGGCAAGUUGGGUGUUAAAUCUACCGGCUCAACUGGUAGUCGCACUCAAAACUGCUAUUCUUGAGUGAAGUAGAGGCAGGCGGAAUUCCUAGUGUAGCGGUGAAAUGCGUAGAUAUUAGGAGGAACACCGGCGGCGAAGGCGGCCUGCUGGACUGCGACUGACGUUGAGGCUCGAAAGCGUGGGGAGCGAACAGGAUUAGAUACCCCAGUAAA